CAGAAUCGUUCUAGACAUUUCUUUGCCUUUCCUCUUUCCUCUCUCACAUACCUCGGGUUCCACGUCUGCCGUUCUGUUUUCUGUCAUCUUUCUUCGUUGGUUUUGUUGUUCAAAAGCUUGAGUCUUUUGCUUUGCUGUUCUUCGAUCAUCGUUAAUUUAUGCUUCUUUUGGGUUGGGUUCGAAAUAUUUUUUCGCUCAUUCUGUCAGUCCUUUACAAGUCAGUUUUGCUCUGACGACGAGCCUGUGGCUCAUUCCCUUGAGAGUGACAAGCCCGAAACGGGGAGUAUUGAGAGCAUUGGAGGAGAAGAAGACGAAGUGGAAGAGCCGGUGGACGGGCCCGAUAAUCCCAUGGAGGAAGACGUAGUCAACUCCGCUGCCGUCUUCUGCAUCAGGCUCAAGCAGCCCAGGUCCAAUUUGCAGCACAAGAUGAGCGUCCUCGAGCUUUGUUGCAAUUUUAGAUAUGAAGAGUAUUUGUGAAGUUGCUGUGAUUUCAUGGUAAGUUUCUUUGAACGGAUUUGAGAAUUUGGGAUGGUUUGGGGUGUUUUGAAGUUUCUUUUUUAUUUUUUUAUUGGGGAAAAAAUGGUUAACAGUUAAUUGGUUGUAUUUUAAUUUUUAUUCAAUCCAGGUACUCAUGUUCAGUUUUUGGAUUUGAUUUGAAGGAAUUUCUAGGGUUCAUUGGUGAGUUCUUCGAGAUGUGAAAUGGGUGGUUUUCUUUUGUUUAAAUCUGGGGCUUUUGUAGUUUGGGAUUUGUAAAUGAAUUGAAAUUUAUUGUUUUAUGAUUUGGUUCUCUUUUUAUUUUCAAGAAACGGUGGUCUUCAUUUUUUGGGGCUAUUGUGUGUAGGCUUCCAAGCUGUUUGUGCUUGAGGUAGCUUUUCUCUUUGGGUUUUUUAUUGAAGAAUUUAAAUUUUUAUGUGCUCUGAAUUGACUUACAGAGCUCUUACAUUAGUUUUUUCAUGCUCCUUUUUAACUCUUGACAUGAUUUCAGGAUGUUGGAAGAGCCCUCUUCCGAGCACAUGUCAAGAGUCAACUAAAGGUUGGUGAAAGGAUUUUGCGCUUAUCAACUCAGAUUAUGAUUACACAAACAAAAUGAUGCAGCAUUGUAACAUUGUUCACAUAUUUCUUCCUGAUGAGAUGGGUUGGAAGGAUUGAGCUGCCAACCACUAUUCAGUAGUCAAAGCACUACAUUUUUGAAGUACAUCGGUUCAAUUGGUGAAGAUGACAAUAAAUGGCCAAAAUGAACAAUUUGGACUAGUUUUGGACUUGGAUUGGAUAGCAUGUGAAUGGAGCAUAAUGGAUGGACGUUUUUGGUGUUUAAAUGAUGCUAAAAAUGUGUUACAAAUCUGGAAGAAUUAGAUUAAGGCUUGGAAAAUAAGGAAUCAGCUGAAAACAAGGAGAUCUUAUCCAAUCUUAUCUUAUCUUAUCCCAUAUUAUUCAAACAUUAUCUUAUUUAAUCCAACAUUAUCUAAACUCAUC